UACGUAGGGGGCAAGCGUUGUCCGGAUUUAUUGGGCGUAAAGAGCGUGUAGGCGGCCUGACAGGUCUGCUGUGAAAACUCGAGGCUCAACCUCGAGAUGUCGGCGGAAACCGUCUGGCUAGAGUCCGGAAGAGGAGAGUGGAAUUCCUGGUGUAGCGGUGAAAUGCGCAGAUAUCAGGAAGAACACCCGUGGCGAAGGCGGCUCUCUGGGACGGUACUGACGCUGAGACGCGAAAGCAUGGGGAGCGAACAGG
rnacentral:rRNA from 1 species